rnacentral:rRNA from 1 species
UACGUAGGGGGCGAGCGUUGUCCGGAGUUAUUGGGCGUAAAGCGCGCGCAGGCGGUCUAGCCAGUCUGGAGUGACAGUUCCCGGCUUACCUGAAAGGUCUUCGGAAACUGCUAGACUUGAGGUACUCAGAGGGAGACGGAAUUCCAGGUGGAGCGGUGAAAUGCGUAGAGAUCUGGAGGAACACCAAAGGCGAAGGCAGUCUCCUGGGAGUUACCUGACGCUCAGGCGCGAAAGCCAGGGGAGCGAACGGG